rnacentral:lncRNA from 1 species
UCCUAAUUUUUUAACUAUUUUUUGACAACCUUUUGCCACUUUUUCUUGCUCCAACAUUUCAAAAUGGUUAGUACACAUUAGCAAAUAUUUUUUGAACAUUUUAAUUGUUUCCAAAGAGAAAAACUUUUUAAGAAAAGGUGGGAAGACUCUAAAAAGCAGAAAAUAGCAGAAAAAUAGCAGAAAAUUGAAGAAAAGCCAUUCUUGAGCUAUGUUCCACUCAAAUUUCUCCAGAGCAAUUAGUGAAAAGCAGUGCUAUUCAUCUCCAAGCUCUUCUUCAAGCUUUGAAGCUAUCCUACA